AUUGAACGCUGGCGGCAGGCCUAACACAUGCAAGUCGAACGAGUGGCGGACGGGUGAGUAAUGUCUGGGAAACUGCCUGAUGGAGGGGGAUAACUACUGGAACCGGUAGCUAAUACCGCAUACUAUCAGAUGUGCCCAGAUGGGAUUAGCUUGUUGGUGGGGUAACGGCGCACCAAGAAGACGAUCCCUAGCUGGUCUGAGAUGAGGCACAGCCACACUGGAACUGGGACACGGUCCAGACUCCUACGAGAGGCAGCAGUGGGGAAUAUUGCACAAUGGGCGCAAGCCUGAUGCAGCCAUGCCGCGUGUAUGAAGAGGGCCUUCGCGUUGUAAAGUACUUUCAGCGGGGAGGCGUUACCCGCAGAAGAAGCACCGGCUAACUCCGUGCCAGCAGCCGCGGUAAUUC
rnacentral:rRNA from 1 species